rnacentral:rRNA from 1 species
GGGGAAUAUUGCACAAUGGAGGAAACUCUGAUGCAGCAACGCCGCGUGAGUGAUGAAGGUCUUCGGAUUGUAAAACUCUGUCUUAUGGGACGAUAAUGACGGUACCAUAGGAGGAAGCCACGGCUAACUACGUGCCAGCAGCCGCGGUAAUACGAAGGUGGCAAGCGUUGUCCGGAUUUACUGGGCGUAAAGGGAGCGUAGGUGGAUAUUUAAGUGAGAUGUGAAAUCCCCGGGCUUAACUUGGGGGCUGCAUUUCAAACUGGAUGUCUAGAGUGCAGGAGAGGAAAGCAGAAUUCCUAGUGUAGCGGUGAAAUGCGUAGAGAUUAGGAAGAAUACCAGUGGCGAAGGCGGCUUUCUGGACGGUAACUGACGCUGAGGCAUGAAAGCGUGGGGAGCAAAC